CCCAGACUCCUACGGGAGGCAGCAGUGGGGAAUCUUGCACAAUGGGCGAAAGCCUGAUGCAGCAACGCCGCGUGCGGGAUGACGGCCUUCGGGUUGUAAACCGCUUUCACCAGGGGCGAAACAGACGGUACCUGGAGAAGAAGCACCGGCUAACUACGUGCCAGCAGCCGCGGUGAUACGUAGGGUGCGAGCGUUGUCCGGAUUUAUUGGGCGUAAAGGGCUCGUAGGUGGUUGAUCGCGUCGGAAGUGUAAUCUUGGGGCUUAACCCUGAGCGUGCUUUCGAUACGGGUUGACUUGAGGAAGGUAGGGGAGAAUGGAAUUCCUGGUGGAGCGGUGGAAUGCG
rnacentral:rRNA from 1 species